AUGUCCGGGCUGUACGGCCAGCAGGGGUUCUCCCCUUCCAGGAACCUAUCCCCCCAGAUUAGAAGCAACCCAGAUGUCGAUAGCCAGUACUUGGCCGAGCUGCUCGCCGAGCACCAGAAGCUGGGGCCUUUCAUGCAGGUGCUGCCCAUAUGCAGCAAGCUGCUGAGCCAAGAGAUUAUGCGGGUGUCAAACUCUGCCCAUAACCCUGGAUUCAGUGAUUUCGAUAGACAUCGAUUCAGAAGUCCUAGUCCAAUGUCUUCACCAAAUCCAAGAUCCAAUCUCUCUGGCAAUGGGUUCAGUCCUUGGAAUGGACUACACCAAGAGAGAUUAGGCUUUCCUCAAGGAAACAGUAUGGAUUGGCAAGGAGCGCCACCAAGCCCUAGCUCUCAUGUCAUGAAGAAGAUUCUACGCUUGGAGGUCCCAGUUGAUUCUUAUCCGAGUUUCAAUUUUGUGGGACGUAUUCUAGGACCUAGAGGUAAUUCUCUAAAGCGGGUAGAAGCAUCUACUGGUUGUCGUGUUUUCAUCAGAGGAAAGGGUUCCAUCAAAGAUCCAGGGAAGGAGGACAAGCUAAGAGGAAAACCAGGCUAUGAGCAUCUGAGUGAACAACUUCAUAUCUUGAUAGAGGCUGAGUUCCCAGCCAAUAUUAUUGAUGCCAGAUUGAGACAUGCACAGGAAAUUCUAGAAGAACUGCUAAAGCCAGUGGAUGAGACACAGGAUAUCUACAAGAGGCAACAGCUCAGGGAGCUGGCGAUGCUAAACUCAACCCUGAGAGAGGACAGCCCUCAUCCGGGAAGCGUCUCCCCAUUCAGCAAUGGUGGCAUGAAGCGUGCGAAAACAGGCCAGUAG
rnacentral:rRNA from 1 species